rnacentral:rRNA from 1 species
CUACGGGUCUCUGCAGUGGGGAAUAUUGGACAAUGGGCGAAAGCCUGAUCCAGCCAUGCCGCGUGUGUGAAGAAGGCCUUCGGGUUGUAAAGCACUUUCAGUGGGGAAGAAAGCCUUGGGGCUAAUACCCUCGAGGAAGGACAUCACCCACAGAAGAAGCACCGGCUAACUCCGUGCCAGCAGCCGCGGUAAUACGGAGGGUGCGAGCGUUAAUCGGAAUUACUGGGCGUAAAGCGCGCGUAGGCGGUCUGAUAAGCCGGUUGUGAAAGCCCCGGGCUCAACCUGGGAACGGCAUCCGGAACUGUCAGGCUAGAGUGCAGGAGAGGAAGGUAGAAUUCCCGGUGUAGCGGUGAAAUGCGUAGAGAUCGGGAGGAAUACCAGUGGCGAAGGCGGCCUUCUGGACUGACACUGACGCUGAGGUGCGAAAGCGUGGGUAGCAAACAGGAUUAGAUACCCUGGUAGUC